rnacentral:snoRNA from 8 species
CCCUGCAUUAGAAAGUGAUUAUGGGCUGCCCGUGCCCUGGUCAUUGGUGGUGCAGGGAGAGGAACUGCCGGGAGCACUUCCCCGUGUUUGGAGGGUGCGCUCCUGUCUCUCCCAACCCCUGGAGCUUUCCCACA